UGGCUCAGGCAUCGAUGAAGAACGCAGCGAAAUGCGAUACGUAAUGUGAAUUGCAGAAUUCAGUGAAUCAUCGAAUCUUUGAACGCACAUUGCGCCCGGCAGCACUCUGCCGGGCAUGCCUGUUCGAGCGUCAUUUCAACCCUCAGAACCCCUUCGGGGGAUCUGGCGUUGGGGAUCGGCAUUCCGCCGGCCCCGAAAUCUAGUGGCGGUCCCUCUGUGACCUUCCCUGUGUAGUAGUGAUACCUCGCAGCGGGAUAGCAGUCUGACCACGCCGUAAAACACCCCACUUCUCAAGGUUGACCUCGAAUCAGGUAGGAAUACCCGCUGA
rnacentral:misc_RNA from 1 species